UGAUUAUGGCUCAGGAUGAACGCUAGCGGCAGGCUUAAUACAUGCAAGUCGAGGGGCAGCAGGGGUAGCAAUACUCGCUGGCGACCGGCAAACGGGUGAGGAACAUGUACGCAACCUUCCUUUAACUGGAGGAUAGCCCCUCGAAAGAGGGAUUAAUACUCCGUAACAUAAUGAAGUGGCAUCACUUUAUUAUUAUAGCUCCGGCGGUUAAAGAUGGGCGUGCAACUGAUUAGAUAGUUGGCGGGGUAACGGCCCACCAAGUCUGCGAUCAGUAACUGGUGUGAGAGCACGACCAGUCACACGGGCACUGAGACACGGGCCCGACUCCUACGGGGGGCAGCAGUAAGGAAUAUUGGUCAAUGGACGCAAGUCUGAACCAGCCAUGCCGCGUGGAGGAUUAAGGCCCUCUGGGUUGUAAACUCCUUUUAUCUGGGAAGAAAUGUGUUUUUUCUAAGACACUUGACGGUACCAGAGGAAUAAGCACCGGCUAACUCCGUGCCAGCAGCCGCGGUAAUACGGAGGGUGCAAGCGUUAUCCGGAUUCACUGGGUUUAAAGGGUGCGUAGGCGGGCAGAUAAGUCAGUGGUGAAAUCUUCGAGCUUAACUCGGAAACUGCCGUUGAUACUAUUUGUCUUGAAUAUUGUGGAGGUAAGCGGAAUAUGUCAUGUAGCAGUGAAAUGCUUACAUAUGACAUAAAACACCCACUUGCUAAAGCGCCUUACUACACAAGGAUAGAAGCUCAUGCAGGAGGGCGUGGGGGAUCUAAAAGGAGGAGGAUAGAGAGGGUAUUCACCCCCUACGCGAGGGGUAGAGGAAAUACGC
rnacentral:rRNA from 1 species